UACGGGGGGGGCAAGCGUUGCUCGGAAUCACUGGGCGUAAAGCGCACGUAGGCGGAUCCUUAAGUCGGGGGUGAAAUCCUGGAGCUCAACUCCAGAACUGCCUUCGAUACUGAGGAUCUCGAGUCCGGGAGAGGUGAGUGGAACUGCGAGUGUAGAGGUGAAAUUCGUAGAUAUUCGCAAGAACACCAGUGGCGAAGGCGGCUCACUGGCCCGGUACUGACGCUGAGGUGCGAAAGCGUGGGGAGCAAACAGG
rnacentral:rRNA from 1 species